UAUAUAUAUAUAUACACACACAUAUAUAUACAUACACGUACAUAUACACAUAUAGUGACGUGUGAGGAUCGAUAUCCCUAUUGCAUGUGAUGGCUCUUUUAAUAUCCUACUAGAGAAUACCCUUAAGUGUUUUCUCCUGGAGCCCAACUUUUUCUUUGUGUUUCUUUCCUGAUAUGACUCUGUUGUAUGGACAUUCUGAGAGGGUGAGAUAUAUUUGUUUUGAAAUUUUGGAACUUGUAGCCUGUACUUUGUUUCUGAACGUGCAGAGCAUGAUGGCAGCAUCUGAGGUCGCUGGCGUGGUGGCCACUGCUCCCAGUCCUCCGGAAUCCUCGUCUAGUGUAUGUGCUUCCAAACCAGACGAAGUUCUCCCAGACGGUCUAAGCCCCAAAGACCCUGCACAGAAGCACAAGAACUCGCCUCUGUCGAGUGUAAGUAACCAAACGAUAACCAAGGAGAAUAACAGAAAUGCCCAUUUGGAACACCCAGAGCAGAAUCCUGGUUCAUCAGCAGGUGACACUUCAGCAGCGCACCGGGCGGUUUUAGGAGAAAACUUGAUAGCCACGGCCCUUUGUCUCUCUGGCGGUGGGUCUCAGUCUGAUUUGAAGGACGUGGCCAGCACAGCGGGAGAGGAGGGGGACACACGCCUCCGGGAGAGCCUCCACCCCGCCACUCGGUCUCUUAAGGCAGGGUGCGAUACAAAGCAGCUUGCCUCCGGGAAUUGUCCUGAAGAGAAGGCCCCACAAGCCUCCAUCCUAAAGGAAGGGAGCAGGGACACAGGCUUGGAUUUCCCACCUGUGGUGCCUCCAGCAAAUGGGGUUGAAGGAGUCAGAGUGGAUCAGGAUGAUGAUCAGGAUAGCUCUUCCCUGAAGCUUUCUCAGAACAUUGCCGUCCAGACUGACUUUAAGACGGCUGAUUCAGAGGUAAACACAGAUCAAGAUAUUGAAAAGAAUCUGGAUAAAAUGAUGACAGAGAGAACCUUGUUGAAGGAGCGUUACCAGGAGGUCCUGGACAAGCAGAGGCAAGUGGAGAAUCAGCUCCAAGUGCAAUUAAAGCAACUUCAGCAAAGGAGAGAAGAAGAAAUGAAGAAUCACCAGGAGAUAUUAAAGGCUAUCCAGGAUGUAACAAUAAAGCGAGAAGAAACAAAGAAGAAGAUAGAGAAAGAAAAGAAGGAGUUUUUGCAGAAGGAGCAGGAUCUGAAAGCUGAAAUUGAGAAGCUUUGUGAGAAGGGCAGAAGAGAAGUGUGGGAAAUGGAACUGGAUAGACUCAAGAAUCAAGAUGGUGAAAUAAAUCGGAACAUUAUGGAAGAGACAGAACGUGCCUGGAAGGCAGAGAUCUUAUCACUAGAGAGUCGGAAAGAGUUGUUGGUAUUGAAACUAGAAGAAGCAGAAAAAGAGGCAGAACUGCACCUUACUUACCUCAAGUCAACUCCCCCAACACUAGAGACAGUUCGUUCCAAACAGGAGUGGGAGACAAGACUGAAUGGAGUUCGGAUAAUGAAAAAGAAUGUUCGGGACCAAUUUAAUAGUCAUAUCCAGCUAGUGAGGAAUGGAGCCAAGCUGAGCAGCCUUCCUCAGAUCCCGACUCCCACUUUGCCUCCACCCCCAUCAGAGACAGACUUCAUGCUUCAGGUGUUUCAACCCAGUCCCUCUCUGGCUCCUCGGAUGCCUUUCUCCAUUGGGCAGGUCACAAUGCCCAUGGUUAUGCCCAGUGCAGAUCCCCGUUCCUUGUCUUUCCCGAUCCUGAACCCUGCCCUUUCCCAGCCCAACCAGCCUUCCCCACCCCUUCCUGGCUCCCAUGGGAGAAAUAGCCCUGGCUUGGGUUCCCUUGUCGGCCCCCAUGGUCCACACGUGCCCCCUGCCGCCUCCAUCCCACCUCCCCCAGGCUUGGGUGGUGUUAAGGCUUCUACUGAAACUACCCGGCCCCAACCAGUAGACAAACUGGAGAAGAUUCUGGAGAAGCUGCUUACUCGGUUUCCACAAUGCAAUAAGGCCCAGAUGACCAACAUUCUUCAGCAGAUCAAGACAGCACGUACCACCAUGGCAGGUCUGACCAUGGAGGAGCUGAUCCAGCUGGUAGCUGCGCGACUGGCAGAGCACGAGCGGGUGGCAGCAAGCACUCAGAUGUUCCUCCCUCACUGUGACAACGUUUCUGCCCACAGCCCCUUGGUCGGAUCCGGGCCCUGUUCCCUGCUCCAUUGGCCCAAAUCAGUACCCCAAUGUUCUUGCCUUCUGCCCAAGUUUCAUAUCCUGGGAGGUCUUCACAUGCUCCAGCCACCUGUAAACUGUGUCUAAUGUGCCAGAAACUUGUCCAGCCCAGUGAGCUGCACCCAAUGGCAUGCACCCAUGUGCUGCACAAGGAGUGUAUCAAAUUCUGGGCCCAGACCAACACAAAUGACACUUGUCCCUUUUGUCCAACUCUUAAAUGAUGGACCUGACUGGGGAGGAAGAAGAGGAGAAACUGAUGUGAACAGGAAGCGCGGGUUCAAGAUUUCUAAAACUCUAUAUUUAUACAGUGACAUAUACUCAUGCCAUGUACAUUUUUAUUAUAUAGGUAAUGUGUGUAUAGAAAGUCUGUAUCCAGAUGUUCGUAAAUGAAAGUAUGUAUAUUAUGCAGAAAUGGUCUGUCCCCCUCACCUUUCAGUUCCUCUGGGGGAAGCAGAUUGUAGGUAAGAUGGUAUUUAAUUUGGCCUUGAAAUUAUGAUAUUCCUGCCUAGGGCUGUUUUCAGAUGCAAUAUAAAAACCAUCUAGGAAGCUGCUCUUGCUCUAAGGCCACCCUGCUCUGAUUUGGCUCAGCCUCUAGUCCAUUUUCUUAAGGCUCAUGUACGCCGAUUUGAACCCUGGUGCUCACCUGCUGUCCAGCCAGAUGCCUUGCUUAUUGAAAGCCUCCGGAAGCCUCAGUGCUAUUCUAGCCCCCCUACUCCAAAUGGAGAAAAUGAGACUGAUUGAGGAAGAAAUAUAUAACCCUGAUAGUUUGAUUUUUCGUUGAACAUUUUACUGUGUUAACACUCAUUAUUUGUACAUAGACAUUAGGUUUACAGAAUAGUCUGUUUACAUCAGCAAAAUUCACAGUCCAAGAAUAACAACAUAACCAGGUCCCGUUUCCCCCAUGCCUCCACAAACUUCUGUCCACCCUACUUCCUGGAUAGUCAACUCUUUAGAAACUAGCAUAGCCCACAGGUCUUUCCUGGGCCAAGCCGUCCCUUUCCACCACUGACUUGGCUUCUGAUCAAGCUUUCACAGACCAACCUUCAGACCAACCUUGUGAAGUCCUCACCACUUCCCCUUCACUUCUGGUCUUCUAGUCUAGCUAUCUCCCCUCCCCUUGAAGGUUAAGGCAGUUGGUUCACAACCAAGUUGUUUGGUGACCUUGGGUGAGUUCCAGGCAGGCACUGGGGUGAGGAGAUGUCUGUGCAAAAUUCCUUUCAGGAUGACCUUGGGAUAUGGGUUUGAAUUUUUGAAGCAAGAAAGCUAUGGGGGACAUGCUUCCUGUCCUGGGACAAAUGGAGACCAAAGUGCUAUGAAGAAGGGAGGUUAGAUUUCAGGUUUAUAAGUCAUUUGUUCUGUGGGUAGCUGUCUGGAGCGAGGUCAUUUUUCCACCUCUGCUUAUUGAGCACUUCCAGUUUCUAGGUUUAUACCGAGGAAAGCUGCGUUUCUAUUACAGCUUUGAAUCCUUUCCUGUCGCUUUAUCUUUACUCCUAAUGGAAAUGGCUUCAGCUCCCUUCUCUUUUGGAAUUAAACAAGUAAAAAUUAAGCAGUAAUAAAAAAAAAUUAGCUCCAGGAAAGGAUAUUAUUAUAUUACCAACAGGUGAAUUUUUCCCAUUCUGGGACCUGGAAAUGCUUACUCGCACUAGUAGUACAUAUGAGGGUAGCAAAGAUUUUUCCUUUCAGAGCCAAAUAAUUCUCUCCUCUCUCUUUAUGUUACUCUUCCUUGUCUUUCAUCCUUGCCUAGCAGCUCAUGAACAUACUCUUUCUCUUCUCUGUCUUACUUUUCCCGGUUUAUUGACUGGCAACAGUGUAAGGAAAUGGAUUUCCUGGGAUCUCCUUGGCAUCUUUUAGGGUGAUGGAAAUGGCCUGAGUACUCCCCACUGUAGAGGUCAGAUGAGCCACUUUCUUUGGUUAAUGAAAUAUUAAUGACUCUAGUUUGGUAGCCAUCAUGAACAGGGAAUGUGGCAAAAUGGAAGACCAGUUCCUUUGUUCUUUUCAUUUGGUGGGGGGGGGGAUUCAUUUUUUAUCUUGUAAUCUUAAGAUUUUAUCUCCCCUUAACUUUGCAGCAGCCUUUGGGCCACUUGCAGUAUUUUUCAGUAUCCAAUGAAAAUAUAGAAAUUAGAAGUGGGUCUAAAAAAUAUCCUGUUUCUUUUCUACAAAUCUUUGACACCAAAGGAGUAAAGAGAAAACAGGAGGGGAUGGGGGGCUUAACUGCUUCCUAGUGAAAGCCCCUGGAAACUAGCUGCAGCAGGAAGACAGUGUGGUGGAGGGUGUGCGUGGGGGCCGGGACUCAUCGUCGCUCUUUGCUCCUUCUUGUUCAGGAUCAAUCCGAAAGCAACAGUUAAGUUUUGGCCACCCUUGUUCUCCCUUUUCCCUCUCUCCACUGGCCUGCACUGGUACAAGCUGUGCAGACCCCUGGGGAAGGCCCCUGAUGCAGGGAGUGGAGAUGGGACAGUCAUUUUUCUGGCAUAGAAUUUAAAAAUAGAAAUAUAGAAUACAUAUUUUUACAAGGAAGAAGCUGUUGUCUAGAUUUUUUUUUUACACUUCAGAGUUCACGGUUUCAGGGUAGAAAGGAAGAAACUGUUAAAA